GGGGCCAGAACUGAAACCCAGUGGAGAGAGGCAGGAUCUUAUGGGUCAAGUGAAGCUGAUUAAAACGUAGAGGAACAUGGACAACAGCACUACACACCUGGAGAUGCAGACAUCCUGACCCACCCAGGAGCUGCCUCGCUCAUGGGCUGACUGCAGAAAAGAUGCUUCAGACGGAUAGGUGUCCCAAAAUGCAAUGGUGUUCUUAUGGAGAGUAGAGGACAACAUUCCAGGCAUCAAACUCUGACCAUCAGUUUUC